rnacentral:lncRNA from 1 species
AGGCCCGUGCCACCAUGCCCAGCUAAUUUUUUGUUUUGUUUUUUUUUUAAUAGAGACGGGGUUUCACCGUGUUAGCCAGGAUGGUCACCAUCUCCUGACCUCGAAACACACAAAUCUUAAUUGUAGUUUGAUGGUCAUGGGAUCACACCAGAUCAAGAUGAAGAACGUUCCUAGCCUCCAGGGGCUCCCUUCAAAGGAAGCCCAUCCUGACCUACUUUGGCUCCCGAGGUCACCUGGACUUGCCCCAUCACAGACCUUGCCACAGUGUGAGAAACUGCCUCAUCCACAUACCAGCUUCUCACCCCCACCCAGACCCUCUGAUUGGGACUCCCUUGAGGGCUGUGUCCCCAGAGCCCAGCAAGAGUCCAGCACAGAGCAGCUGAGGGGGUAGGUGCUGGUGAACAGGGCCACGGAGCCCCUGCUACUCACCAAGCCCUUCACACACGGGUCUUCAUUUAAUGUCUUUCUUCUCCUAAAUAGAAUCUUGGCUUUGCCAAGACCAGCAUAGUUGCUGCUCAAGAAAUAUGUGAGGAAAUUGUUGAGAUGAACCAGCACUCGGGGAAGGGAGGCUUUCUGAGGACGGGGCCUUAGCAGGUGGAGCUCCUGGGAUAAUAAGAAAGAUGCCCGGAUGCGGUGGCUCACAUCUGGAAUCCCAGCACUUCAGGAGGCCAAGGCAGGCAGAUCACUUGAGGCCAGGAGUUCAAGACCAGCCUGGCCAACAUGAUGAAACCCCGUCUCUACUAAAAAUACAAAAAAUUAGCUGGGCAUGGUGGUGCGAGCCUGUAGUCCCAGCUUCUCGGGAGGCUGAGGCUGGAGGACCAAUGAUUGAACCCGGGAGGUGGAGGUUGUAGUGAGCUGAGAUCGCAGCACUGCACUCCAGGCUGGGCAACAGAGUGAGACUCUGUCUCCAGAAAGAAAGACAACAAUAAUCAGUCGUCUUUACUCUGCUCCAGGCGCCAGGCUGAGUCUUCUCAGUUCCUCUCCCCAGCAGGUUAGUUCUAUUAUUGUUUCCAUUUCACAGAUGGGAAAUCAAGGCACAGGGAGGUGAGGUGGGUUACUCCAGGUCACACAGUCAGUGAGAGGAAGAGCCAGGAUCAAAGCCAAGCCUGUUUGACUGAGGAGCCUGCCCUGAGACCUUAACCACACACCAAGCGCUCCCUAGAAGGAAGAUGCCA